GGAGGAUACAAGAGGAGGAGAAGUAUCUCACAGGGGCAACUUGGUUCUCCUCUUCCUAUCACAAGAUCGAUGGGAUAAUGAUGGCAAAGAAGCUAGGCUCCUUUUAAACAAAUAAAUGAGUGGUAAGGCUGCCAGGUGUACGCUGAUGACUUGCAGCAAUUCCUAUGGGGAGUUCCAAUAUUGUAAAAUAACGGAAAUGGUUUAUGACUGGGGUUGGAUUUGAACUUUCAGAUGACUCCAGUUGGAAUGUGUAUGUAGGCAACUGGAUGCCUCUGGGAAGUCCACAAGCAGGAGAUGAAGACCACUGCCCUUUCCACUGUUGCUUGCCAGACAGCACUGUUUCCCAAGUGUCAUGACAAAAGAAUUCAUCCCAGGAACUUUAGCCUGACUUAAUGAGUGGUCCCUCGACUUACGAAGUACUCGACAUCCGAAGAUUUCGACAUACGAACGACAAAAAAUACCGGAAGUCGUUGCCGGUUUAGAUGCGGCUUCCUCGACCUACGAAUUUUUAGAUGCGGUUUCCUCGACCUACGAAUGUUUCCGGACCUCCGUGGAUGCGCUUUUCAACUUACGAAAAUUCCGACCUACUAAC